UGAGGAAUAUUGGUCAAUGGACGCGAGUCUGAACCAGCCAAGUAGCGUGCAGGAUGACGGCCCUAUGGGUUGUAAACUGCUUUUAUAUGGGGAUAAAGUGGGGAACGUGUUCCCUUUUGCAGGUACCAUAUGAAUAAGGACCGGCUAAUUCCGUGCCAGCAGCCGCGGUAAUACGGAAGGUUCGGGCGUUAUCCGGAUUUAUUGGGUUUAAAGGGAGCGUAGGCCGUUUGGUAAGCGUGUUGUGAAAUGUAGGAGCUCAACUUUUAGAUUGCAGCGCGAACUGGCAGACUUGAGUGCGCACAACGUAGGCGGAAUUCAUGGUGUAGCGGUGAAAUGCUUAGAUAUCAUGACGAACUCCGAUUGCGAAGGCAGCUUACGGGAGCGCAACUGACGCUAAAGCUCGAAGGUGCGGGUAUCGAACAGG
rnacentral:rRNA from 1 species